rnacentral:snRNA from 1 species
GAGCUCGAAGCACCAACC